rnacentral:snRNA from 1 species
GUGCUCGCUUCAGCAGCACAUAUACUAAAAUUGGAACAAUACAGAAAAGAUUAGCAUGGCCCCUGCACAAGGAUGACACGCAAAUUCGUGAAGCGUUACAUAUUUUU